rnacentral:rRNA from 1 species
AUUGAACGCUGGCGGCAGGCUUAACACAUGCAAGUCGAGCGGAGAUGAGGUGCUUGCACCUUAUCUUAGCGGCGGACGGGUGAGUAAUGCUUAGGAAUCUGCCUAUUAGUGGGGGACAACAUUCCGAAAGGAAUGCUAAUACCGCAUACGCCCUACGGGGGAAAGCAGGGGAUCUUCGGACCUUGCGCUAAUAGAUGAGCCUAAGUCGGAUUAGCUAGUUGGUGGGGUAAAGGCCUACCAAGGCGACGAUCUGUAGCGGGUCUGAGAGGAUGAUCCGCCACACUGGGACUGAGACACGGACCAGACUCCUACGGGAGGCAGCAGUGGGGAAUAUUGGACAAUGGGCGGAAGCCUGAUCCAGCCAUGCCGCGUGUGUGAAGAAGGCCUUUUGGUUGUAAAGCACUUUAAGCGAGGAGGAGGCUACCUGGAUUAAUACUCUAGGAUAGUGGACGUUACUCGCAGAAUAAGCACCGGCUAACUCUGUGCCAGCCGCCGCGGUAA